AUUGAACGCUGGCGGCAUGCCUUACACAUGCAAGUCGAACGGUAACAGAUCUUCGGAUGCUGACGAGUGGCGAACGGGUGAGUAAUACAUCGGAACGUGCCUAGUAGUGGGGGAUAACUACUCGAAAGAGUGGCUAAUACCGCAUGAGAUCUACGGAUGAAAGCAGGGGAUCGCACGACCUUGUGCUACUAGAGCGGCCGAUGGCAGAUUAGGUAGUUGGUGGGAUAAAAGCUUACCAAGCCGACGAUCUGUAGCUGGUCUGAGAGGACGAUCAGCCACACUGGGACUGAGACACGGCCCAGACUCCUACGGGAGGCAGCAGUGGGGAAUUUUGGACAAUGGGCGCAAGCCUGAUCCAGCAAUGCCGCGUGCAGGAUGAAGGCCUUCGGGUUGUAAACUGCUUUUGUACGGAACGAAAAGCCCUGGGUUAAUACCCUGGGGUCAUGACGGUACCGUAAGAAUAAGCACCGGCUAACUACGUGCCAGCCGCCGCGGUAACAC
rnacentral:rRNA from 1 species